rnacentral:rRNA from 1 species
GAUGAACGCUAGCGAUAGGGCUUAACACAUGCAAGUCGAGGGGCAGCAUAAUUUUAGCUUGCUAAGAUUGAUGGCGACCGGCGCACGGGUGCGUAACGCGUUUGCAACCUGCCUGUAAUUAGGGGAUAGCUCGGUGAAAGUCGAAUUAAUACCCUAUAUUCUAUUUAUUUCGCAUGAUUUGAAUAGGAAAGAUUUAUUGAUUACAGAUGGGCAUGCGUUCCAUUAGCUAGUUGGUAAGGUAACGGCUUACCAAGGCGACGAUGGAUAGGGGGACUGAGAGGUUGACCCCCCACACUGAUACUGAGAUACGGACCAGACUCCUACGGGAGGCAGCAGUGAGGAAUAUUGGUCAAUGGGCGAAAGCCUGAACCAGCCAAAUCGCGUGAAGGACGACGGUCCUAUGGAUUGUAAACUUCUUUUGUAGAGGAAUAAUGGCAGUUACGUGUAACUGAGGUGCAUGUACUCUACGAAUAAGUAUCGGCUAACUCCGUGCCAGCAGCCGCGGUAAUACGGAGGAUACGAGCGUUAUCCGGAUUUAUUGGGUUUAAAGGGUGUGUAGGUGGUUUUUUAAGUCAGUGGUGAAAAGCUGUAGCUCAACUAUAGUCUUGCCAUUGAAACUGGAGAACUAGAGAGAAGACGAGGUAUGCGGAAUGUGUAGUGUAGCGGUGAAAUGCUUAGAUAUUACACAGAACGCCAAUUGCGAAGGCAGCGUACCAGGCUUUAUCUGACACUAAAGCACGAAAGCGUGGGUAUCAAACAGG